rnacentral:rRNA from 1 species
ACUCCUGCGGGAGGCAGCAGUGGGGAAUUUUGGACAAUGGGCGAAAGCCUGAUCCAGCAAUGCCGCGUGAGUGAAGAAGGCCUUCGGGUUGUAAAGCUCUUUUGUCAGGGAAGAAACGGUGAAAGCUAAUAUCUUUUGCUAAUGACGGUACCUGAAGAAUAAGCACCGGCUAACUACGUGCCAGCAGCCGCGGUAAUACGUAGGGUGCAAGCGUUAAUCGGAAUUACUGGGCGUAAAGCGUGCGCAGGCGGUUUUGUAAGUCUGAUGUGAAAUCCCCGGGCUCAACCUGGGAAUUGCAUUGGAGACUGCAAGGCUAGAAUCUGGCAGAGGGGGGUAGAAUUCCACGUGUAGCAGUGAAAUGCGUAGAUAUGUGGAGGAACACCGAUGGCGAAGGCAGCCCCCUGGGUCAAGAUUGACGCUCAUGCACGAAAGCGUGGGGAGCAAACAGGAUUAGAAACCCCUGUAGUCCCA